rnacentral:rRNA from 1 species
UCCGGUUGAUCCUGCCAGAGGCCGCUGCUAUCCGGCUGGGACUAAGCCAUGCUAGUCUAGGGGCUUGUACUCCUUCGGGGGUGCAAGCACCGGCGGACGGCUCAGUAACACGUGGACAACCUGCCCUCGGGUGGGGGAUAACCCCGGGAAACUGGGGCUAAUCCCCCAUAGGUGAUGGGUGCUGGAAUGCCCCAUCUCCGAAAGCGCUUAGCGCCCGAGGAUGGGUCUGCGGCGGAUUAGGUAGUUGGUGGGGUAACGGCCCACCAAGCCUAAGAUCCGUACGGGCUGUGGGAGCAGGAGCCCGGAGAUGGACCCUGAGACAAGGGUCCAGGCCCUACGGGGCGCAGCAGGCGCGAAACCUCCGCAAUGCGGGAAACCGCGACGGGGUUAGCCGGAGUGCCCGUGCAUUGCACGGGCUGUCGGGGUGCCUAAACAGCACCCCAUAGCAAGGGCCGGGCAAGGCCGGUGGCAGCCGCCGCGGUAAGACCGGCGGCCCGAGUGGCGGCCACUCUUAUUGGGCCUAAAGCGUCCGUAGCCAGCCCAGUAAGUCCCCCGGGAAAUCUGGUCGCUUAACGAUCAUACUUCCGGGGGAUACUGCUGGGCUAGGGACCGGGAG